rnacentral:tRNA from 1 species
AGCUCCAUAUAUAAGGCCCUCGGCUGGAUAGAGCAGCUGCCUUCCAGGCAGCAGGUCACUGGUUCGAAUCCAAUCCGGA